rnacentral:rRNA from 1 species
AUUGAACGCUGGCGGCAGGCCUAACACAUGCAAGUCGAGCGGAUGAAGGGAGCUUGCUCCUGGCUUCAGCGGCGGACGGGUGAGUAAUGCCUAGGAAUCUGCCUGGUAGUGGGGGAUAACGUCAGGAAACGGGAGCUAAUACCGCAUACGUCCUGAGGGAGAAAGUGGGGGAUCUUCGGACAUAACGGUAUUAGCUGAGCCUAGGUCGGAUUAGCUAGUUGGUGGGGUAAAGGCCUACCAAGGCGACGAUCCGUAACUGAUCUGAGAGGAUGAUCAGUCACACUGGAACUGAGACACGGUCCAGACUCCUACGGGAGGCAGCAGUGGGGAAUAUUGGACAAUGGGCGAAAGCCUGAUCCAGCCAUGCCGCGUGUGUGAAGAAGGUCUUCGGAUUGUAAAGCACUUUAAGUUGGGAGGAAGAGCAGUAAGUUAAUACCUUGCUGUCUUGACGUUACCAACAGAAUAAGCACCGGCUAACUUCGUG